UACGUAGGUGGCGAGCGUUGUCCGGAUUUAUUGGGCGUAAAGAGCUCGUAGGCGGUUUGGUAAGUCUGGUGUGAAAUCUCCACGCUCAACGUGGAGGGGCCACCCGAUACUGCCAUGACUGGAGUCCGGUAGAGGAGUGUGGAAUUCCCGGUGUAGCGGUGAAAUGCGCAGAUAUCAGGAGGAACACCGGUGGCGAAGGCGCUGCUCUGGGCCGGUACUGACGCUGAGGAGCGAAAGCGUGGGUAGCAAACAGG
rnacentral:rRNA from 1 species